AAUCGGAAGCUUUCUCCGUAGUUCCAGUCUCCCGUCACACUGUUGGGUACCCAAACUACCCAGGUGCUCUUUGGUUGGCUGGGCGCUAGAUGGUUGGAGUUUAGCCCGGCCAGUUGGAGUAGCAGCCACAGGAUCUUUACCACCACAGAGCCUGUGGAAGGUGUGGAAGAUCCAACUGGUAUUUUUUUUUUUAUUUUUUUACGACUGCAUUCCGGACCACUUUUUGCCCUGGAGCAAGUCGGAAACCCUGAAUUUCAAGUCAUUUUUAUUUGCCGCGUUCCUCCUUUUUGCCUGAACAAAAGGGUGUAAUCGCAACCAGGUUCUGAGAAAUGGUGUCGGGUCCAAAACCAGACCAGAUGUUAGUUCUGAUCUGGAUGGGUUUGUCUGUAACGAGACUAGACUACACGGGAUAUGACCAGAUCAGGAAGACUGGGUUUGUUCAUAGUCCUCGCCUCAGGCAAGAACUGUUCCCUUCCUCAAAGCCGUUCAGAUGGUUUGAGUUUAUUUGCAAGCAUAGAAAACUGCCUCGUUUCUCAUUAUGCCAGUCUGUCGCCGGUAUCAAACUUGAAGAGAGGCUUUGGUUUCAUUUGUCUCCAGACCAGACCUGCAUCAACACACCACUGCCCAAAGAAACCAACCCCAGAUCUACUACAGACAUGAUCAUCAGACUGGGCAGGCUGACCCCUGGAUACUUCCGCCUCCUACAGAGACAGGUGGCCGGUGAGGUGCAGACCCAGCCACAGGACCGCGCGGUCAACCAGAUAGCCAUGAUGCUGGCCAUCAUGGGCCUGAGCCUGUCCUACUACAGUGCCAAACGGAUGACCGAGAAGGUCCAGAGGCUCCAGAAGAGAAGAGAUCCCCAUACACCCUGAAGAGACCCCUCCCCCCAGUGCGCCGGUCCUCUUUGAACCUGGAGAGAAGACGAACCAACGCGAAAACGAGGAGAGGAGAGUUGACAGUGUCGGUGUCCAGAACAACACCUUUUCACAACCAAUCAGUCAUAGUCACGUCGUUCAGACACUGGAGUUUUACUGGGAUCACUCUCAAUGCGAGGAGAGUUCGGGGUCUGCUGUUGUUAAGGGUAUCUUAAUUUUUCACCCCAAUGGAUGUUGGGAGGACCUUGUGGGGGAGUGUGUAUGUGGGAAAGGCUGACGGUGG
rnacentral:lncRNA from 1 species